rnacentral:rRNA from 1 species
CCUACGGGGGGCAGCAGUCGAGAAUUUUUCACAAUGGGGGAAACCCUGAUGGAGCGACGCCGCGUGGAGGAUGAAGGUCUUCGGAUUGUAAACUCCUGUCAAAUGGGAACAAGAAAGUGAUAGUACCAUUAGAGGAAGAGACGGCUAACUCUGUGCCAGCAGCCGCGGUAAUACAGAGGUCUCAAGCGUUGUUCGGAUUCAUUGGGCGUAAAGGGUGCGCAGGCUGCGGGGUAAGUCGGAUGUGAAAUUUAGGGGCUCAACCUCUAAACUGCAUUCGAUA